rnacentral:piRNA from 2 species
UGUAGCUGAAGGUUUUGGGUUAACAGA